rnacentral:rRNA from 1 species
UGGGGAAUAUUGCACAAUGGGCGAAAGCCUGAUGCAGCAACGCCGCGUGAAGGAAGAAGGGUUUCGGCUCGUAAACUUCUAUCAACAGGGACGAAGGAAGUGACGGUACCUGAAUAAGAAGCCCCGGCUAACUACGUGCCAGCAGCCGCGGUAAUACGUAGGGGGCAAGCGUUAUCCGGAAUUACUGGGUGUAAAGGGUGAGUAGGCGGCAUGGUAAGCCAGAUGUGAAAGCCUUGGGCUUAACCCGAGGAUUGCAUUUGGAACUAUCAAGCUAGAGUACAGGAGAGGAAAGCGGAAUUCCUAGUGUAGCGGUGAAAUGCGUAGAUAUUAGGAAGAACACCAGUGGCGAAGGCGGCUCUCUGGACUGAAACUGACGCUGAGGCACGAAAGCGUGGGGAGCGAACAGGAUUAGAUACCC